rnacentral:rRNA from 1 species
AAACACUCCUACUUUUAACAACGGAAAUAGGAGAUUACUCCUUUAAAUUAUAUAGAGAAGGCUCGACUUAGCACAGCCAGUCCAUGGAGAGCAUGGUCUUGACUCAUUCGUUGGCUAUCUCUUAGAUAGAUGCAUGGUAGUAUAAGCGAGGAGAGAGGUGUGUUAUAAACCGAAACGGGAACGAGUUAAAAACGCGUCCUUACCGGGGGGUGUUAUUAAUUAGAAAAAGAGGCCCCAUGAAAGUCUCUGACACCAGUACUGAAGAUUAUGGCAAUGGGGGACACCCCGACCUAGCUAAUGAGAACUUAGGGGUGAGCAAGACAUGGUGCCAGAACUCUCGGUGAGGCCAGCUCCCCAAGUUAAACAUUUAACGGCUAGGUGGUUAGGCAGAACAUAACAAAGGUGAUGCGCGCGUUACUUCCAGAGGUCAAAUAAGAGGACGAAUGGCUUGCCCAUACAUCGCCUGACUGUUGAAUCCGCGAAACUCAGGGGCUAGACCCGGAUUUGAUACCCGGUUAUUCCUGAGCUAAAAUCCGUCAUACUGCCUGGGAACUACGGGGAACGCUCUAAAACUCGAGGGACUUGGCGGUGCACUAAUCCCCCCAGGGGAACCUGGCUCUUAAUUCGAUGAUCCACGAACCUCUUACCUUUCCUAGUUUUGCUUAUCUUUGAAAAAAGUAACCAAAGAUCAGCUCGCAUACCGCCGUUUCGUAGCCUGUAUCGUGAGAGGACAUAAACAGGCGCCUCAGCGGUUCUCAUAAUCAUAAGAAACGAGGACUACUCUAAUAAUUCAGGUAAACGUGUGGUCUAUGGAAAGGGGAAGCUGGGUUACAAUUGGGGUUUGUAAUGGCGUGGCUGCCUUAAGGGCAAGACAAAAGAGGACUUGGAAGUAAUGGCCUUGGACAAUGAGGCCGUGAAUACUGCUCUAGUGUGUGUACAAAUCGCCCGUCGCUCGCCUUGAAAAGGGUGAUAAGUCGUAACACGGUAGGGGUACCGGAAGGUGCCCCUA